GCGCCCAUCGUCUAGAGGCCUAGGACGUCGCCCUUUCACGGCGAAAACACGGGUUCGAUUCCCGUUGGGCGCG
rfam:Methylosinus sp. 3S-1 3S1contig32, whole genome shotgun sequence.